rnacentral:rRNA from 1 species
GGUUAAGCGACUAAGCGUACACGGUGGAUGCCCUGGCAGUCAGAGGCGAUGAAGGACGUGCUAAUCUGCGAUAAGCGUCGGUAAGGUGAUAUGAACCGUUAUAACCGGCGAUUUCCGAAUGGGGAAACCCAGUGUGUUUCGACACACUAUCAUUAACUGAAUCCAUAGGUUAAUGAGGCGAACCGGGGGAACUGAAACAUCUAAGUACCCCGAGGAAAAGAAAUCAACCGAGAUUCCCCCAGUAGCGGCGAGCGAACGGGGAGCAGCCCAGAGCCUGAAUCAGUGUGUGUGUUAGUGGAAGCGUCUGGAAAGGCGCGCGAUACAGGGUGACAGCCCCGUACACAAAAAUGCACAUAUUGUGAGCUCGAUGAGUAGGGCGGGACACGUGGUAUCCUGUCUGAAUAUGGGGGGACCAUCCUCCAAGGCUAAAUACUCCUGACUGACCGAUAGUGAACCAGUACCGUGAGGGAAAGGCGAAAAGAACCCCGGCGAGGGGAGUGAAAAAGAACCUGAAACCGUGUACGUACAAGCAGUGGGAGCCUCUUUUAUGGGGUGACUGCGUACCUUUUGUAUAAUGGGUCAGCGACUUAUAUUCUGUAGCAAGGUUAACCGAAUAGGGGAGCCGAAGGGAAACCGAGUCUUAACUGGGCGUUAAGUUGCAGGGUAUAGACCCGAAACCCGGUGAUCUAGCCAUGGGCAGGUUGAAGGUUGGGUAACACUAACUGGAGGACCGAACCGACUAAUGUUGAAAAAUUAGCGGAUGACUUGUGGCUGGGGGUGAAAGGCCAAUCAAACCGGGAGAUAGCUGGUUCUCCCCGAAAGCUAUUUAGGUAGCGCCUCGUGAAUUCAUCUCCGGGGGUAGAGCACUGUUUCGGCAAGGGGGUCAUCCCGACUUACCAACCCGAUGCAAACUGCGAAUACCGGAGAAUGUUAUCACGGGAGACACACGGCGGGUGCUAACGUCCGUCGUGAAGAGGGAAACAACCCAGACCGCCAGCUAAGGUCCCAAAGUCAUGGUUAAGUGGGAAACGAUGUGGGAAGGCCCAGACAGCCAGGAUGUUGGCUUAGAAGCAGCCAUCAUUUAAAGAAAGCGUAAUAGCUCACUGGUCGAGUCGGCCUGCGCGGAAGAUGUAACGGGGCUAAACCAUGCACCGAAGCUGCGGCAGCGACGCUGAUGCGUUGUUGGGUAGGGGAGCGUUCUGUAAGCCUGUGAAGGUGUGCUGUGAGGCAUGCUGGAGGUAUCAGAAGUGCGAAUGCUGACAUAAGUAACGAUAAAGCGGGUGAAAAGCCCGCUCGCCGGAAGACCAAGGGUUCCUGUCCAACGUUAAUCGGGGCAGGGUGAGUCGACCCCUAAGGCGAGGCCGAAAGGCGUAGUCGAUGGGAAACAGGUUAAUAUUCCUGUACUUGGUGUUACUGCGAAGGGGGACGGAGAAGGCUAUGUUGGCCGGGCGACGGUUGUCCCGGUUUAAGCGUGUAGGCUGGUUUUCCAGGCAAAUCCGGAAAAUCAAGGCUGAGGCGUGAUGACGAGGCACUACGGUGCUGAAGCAACAAAUGCCCUGCUUCCAGGAAAAGCCUCUAAGCAUCAGGUAACAUCAAAUCGUACCCCAAACCGACACAGGUGGUCAGGUAGAGAAUACCAAGGCGCUUGAGAGAACUCGGGUGAAGGAACUAGGCAAAAUGGUGCCGUAACUUCGGGAGAAGGCACGCUGAUAUGUAGGUGAAGUCCCUCGCGGAUGGAGCUGAAAUCAGUCGAAGAUACCAGCUGGCUGCAACUGUUUAUUAAAAACACAGCACUGUGCAAACACGAAAGUGGACGUAUACGGUGUGACGCCUGCCCGGUGCCGGAAGGUUAAUUGAUGGGGUUAGCGGUAACGCGAAGCUCUUGAUCGAAGCCCCGGUAAACGGCGGCCGUAACUAUAACGGUCCUAAGGUAGCGAAAUUCCUUGUCGGGUAAGUUCCGACCUGCACGAAUGGCGUAAUGAUGGCCAGGCUGUCUCCACCCGAGACUCAGUGAAAUUGAACUCGCUGUGAAGAUGCAGUGUACCCGCGGCAAGACGGAAAGACCCCGUGAACCUUUACUAUAGCUUGACACUGAACAUUGAGCCUUGAUGUGUAGGAUAGGUGGGAGGCUUUGAAGUGUGGACGCCAGUCUGCAUGGAGCCGACCUUGAAAUACCACCCUUUAAUGUUUGAUGUUCUAACGUUGACCCGUAAUCCGGGUUGCGGACAGUGUCUGGUGGGUAGUUUGACUGGGGCGGUCUCCUCCUAAAGAGUAACGGAGGAGCACGAAGGUUGGCUAAUCCUGGUCGGACAUCAGGAGGUUAGUGCAAUGGCAUAAGCCAGCUUGACUGCGAGCGUGACGGCGCGAGCAGGUGCGAAAGCAGGUCAUAGUGAUCCGGUGGUUCUGAAUGGAAGGGCCAUCGCUCAACGGAUAAAAGGUACUCCGGGGAUAACAGGCUGAUACCGCCCAAGAGUUCAUAUCGACGGCGGUGUUUGGCACCUCGAUGUCGGCUCAUCACAUCCUGGGGCUGAAGUAGGUCCCAAGGGUAUGGCUGUUCGCCAUUUAAAGUGGUACGCGAGCUGGGUUUAGAACGUCGUGAGACAGUUCGGUCCCUAUCUGCCGUGGGCGCUGGAGAACUGAGGGGGCUGCUCCUAGUACGAGAGGACCGGAGUGGACGCAUCACUGGUGUUCGGGUUGUCAUGCCAAUGGCACUGCCCGGUAGCUAAAUGCGGAAGAGAUAAGUGCUGAAAGCAUCUAAGCACGAAACUUGCCCCGAGAUGAGUUCUCCCUGACUCCUUGAGAGUCCUGAAGGAACGUUGAAGACGACGACGUUGAUAGGCCGGGUGUGUAAGCGCAGCGAUGCGUUGAGCUAACCGGUACUAAUGAACCGUGAGGCUUAACCUU